rnacentral:rRNA from 1 species
CGGGUGAGUAACGCGUGGAGAACCUGCCGUAUACUGGGGGAUAACACUUAGAAAUAGGUGCUAAUACCGCAUAAGCGCACAGCUUCGCAUGAAGCAGUGUGAAAAACUCCGGUGGUAUACGAUGGAUCCGCGUCUGAUUAGCUGGUUGGCGGGGUAAAGGCCCACCAAGGCGACGAUCAGUAGCCGGCCUGAGAGGGUGAACGGCCACAUUGGGACUGAGACACGGCCCAAACUCCUACGGAAGGCAGCAG